UAGGGAAUCUUCCGCAAUGGGCGAAAGCUUGACGGAGCAACGCCGCGUGAGUGAUGAAGGUCUUCGGAUCGUAAAACUCUGUUAUUAGGGAAGAACAAAUGUGUAAGUAACUAUGCACGUCUUGACGGUACCUAAUCAGAAAGCCACGGCUAACUACGUUCCAGCAGCCGCGGUAAUACGUAGGUGGCAAGCGUUAUCCGGAAUUCUUGGGCGUAAAGCGCGCGUAGGCGGUUUUUUAAGUCUGAUGUGAAAGCCCACGGCUCAACCGUGGAGGGUCAUUGGAAACUGGAAAACUUGAGUGCAGAAGAGGAAAGAGGAAUUCCAUGUGUAGCGGUGAAAGGCGCAGAGAUAUGGAGGAAAACCAGUGGCGAAGGAGACUUUCUGGUCUGUAACUGACGCUGAUGUGCGAAAGCGUGGGGAUCAAACAGG
rnacentral:rRNA from 1 species